CUAUAGCUUGUUGGUAGGGUAAUGGCCUACCAAGGCAAUGAUGGGUAGCGGGUGUGAGAGCAUGACCCGCCUCACUGGGACUGAGAACUGCCCAGACACCUACGGGUGGCUGCAGUCGAGAAUCUUCGGCAAUGAGCGCAAGCUUGACCGAGCGACGCCGCGUGCGGGAUGAAGGCCUUCGGGUUGUAAACCGCUGUCGUAGGGGAGCAAGAGAUGAGGGUACUCCCUCAAAUUUGAGCGAUCCUAGGAGGAAGGACGGGCUAAGUUCGUGCCAGCAGCCGCGGUAAGACGAACCGUCCAAACGUUAUUCGGUAUCACUGGGCUUAAAGAGUUCGUAGGCGGCUCCGUAGGUGAGGUGUGAAAUCCCUCGGCUCAACCGAGGAAUUGCGCUUCAAACCGUGGAGCUAGAGGUAGACAGGGGUAAGCGGAACAAAUGGUGGAGCGGUGAAAUGCGUUGAUAUCAUCUGGAACACCGGUGGCGAAAGCGGCUUACUGGGUCUUUUCUGACGCUGAGGAACGAAAGCUAGGGUAGCGAACGGGAUUAGAUACCCCGGUAGUCCUAGCCGUAAACGAUGAGCACUAGUCUGUGGGGACCCUCACAUCCUCUCGGACGUAGCGAAAGUGUUAAGUGCUCCGCC
rnacentral:rRNA from 1 species